CUCCGACCAUAGUGACGACUAACACUCUUGAUGGAUGUGUCCAUUGGAUUUUGACUUGUGAUUCGGUGUUGAAGUGAUAACGCUUGAAACAGUAUCUCUCAAGCACCGAUUGUUUGCAGGCUUUACGUCGCCCGGAAGAUUUGCUAAAGAAGAGAUUAAAAGAACGGUUUUCUUUCUUAUAUGGCGUUCUUUUUCGACUUGGUAUCAUCAAAUUAGCC